rnacentral:rRNA from 1 species
UACGAAGGGGGCUAGCGUUGUUCGGAAUCACUGGGCGUAAAGCGCACGCAGGCGGAUCGAUGAGGCGGGGGUGAAAGCCCGGGGCUCAACCUCGGAAUUGGCUUCGAUACUGUCGGUCUCGAGUCCGGGAGAGGUGAGUGGAAUUCCUAGUGUAGAGGUGAAAUUCGUAGAUAUUAGGAAGAACACCAGUGGCGAAGGCGGCUCACUGGCGCGGUACUGACGCUCAGGUGCGAAAGCGUGGGGAGCAAACAGG